ensembl:snRNA RNU6-1007P RNA, U6 small nuclear 1007, pseudogene
GUACUCGCUUCAGCAGCACAUAUACUAAAAUUGGAAUGAUACAGAGAAGUUUAGUGUGGGCUCUCCACAAGCAUGACAUGCAAAUUCGUGAAGCAUUCCAUAUUCUU